rnacentral:lncRNA from 1 species
GACUUCCAGGCACUCAAGCCCCUUUGCGCCCGCCAUGCACUCUCCAUCAAAGAGAUCCUCCAAGCGCAGCAUGGCUCCGGCAUCCACUGGGCCCUCAAAGCCCACUGCGGCUCCUACAGCUCCUGCUGCUCCCACAGCUCCGGCAUCCACUGGGCCCUCAAAGCCCACCCCAGCUCCUGCGGCUCCCAUGGUUUCCACAUCUCCAGUCUCCUUGAAGAACACCAAAGCAGCAGUGCCCAACAGUUCCUCAGUGCAUCCGAAGUCCCCUAACUUGCUUAUGAGCCCUAGCAGUUCUAAGUCUACCAGACCAAUAGGGAACAAGACAGUCCCUUCAACUCGGCCCAGCAGCAGGUCCCAAGGCCGCAGCAAGACAAGAACAUCCAGUCAGGUGAGCACUGAUACCAAGGCCAGGAAAGGCAGCAGGGGCAGGAAGGGGGGCAAGACUGGAGUGAUGGGACCAUAUAAGCAGAGAGACACACACAGCAGGGGGCGAACCCCUGGCAAAAGGGUAAGCCAGAGCUCCAAGACAUCCCCAAACAGGGCCAGCACUCCUAACAGGAAGAGAACCCAUUCCGCCAAACCAGGUGUGGCCAAGAAAGCAAGGACCCCUACUUCCCACCGCAAACAAAGCAGAGGCAAGAGUUAUAGCCGACCUAGAACCAGUGCCCACGAAAAGAGUGACAACUGGCUUAGAAACAGGCACAGGACGAAGAGCCCCAAGCUACAUGGAGCCUUAGACACCAAGGACACUGCAAUCUCCAGUAGGGCCAAGAGCUACAGCCCAAGUAGGACAGUCUUCAAGAGCUUUAGCAAGUCUCCGGUGGUAAGCAGGAGAGCCAGGAGCUA